rnacentral:rRNA from 1 species
AACGAACGCUGGCGGCAUGCCUAACACAUGCAAGUCGAACGAGACCUUCGGGUCUAGUGGCGCACGGGUGCGUAACGCGUGGGAACCUGCCCUUAGGUUCGGAAUAACUCCCCGAAAGGGGUGAUAAUACCGGAUAAUGUCUUCGGACCAAAGAUUUAUCGCCUUUGGAUGGGCCCGCGUUGGAUUAGCUAGUUGGUAGGGUAAAAGCCUACCAAGGCGACGAUCCAUAGCUGGUCUGAGAGGAUGAUCAGCCACACUGGGACUGAGACACGGCCCAGACUCCUACGGGAGGCAGCAGUGGGGAAUAUUGGACAAUGGGCGAAAGCCUGAUCCAGCAAUGCCGCGUGAGUGAUGAAGGCCGUAGGGUUGUAAAGCUCUUUUACCCGUGAUGAUAAUGACAGUACCGGGAGAAUAAGCUCCGGCUAACUCCGUG